rnacentral:misc_RNA from 1 species
GAUGAAGAACGCAGUGAAAUGCGAUAAGUAGUGUGAAUUGCAGAAUUCAGUGAAUCAUCGAAUCUUUGAACGCACAUUGCGCCCCUUGGUAUUCCGAGGGGCAUGCCUGUUCGAGCGUCAUUUUGACCACUCCCGCUUGCGGGGUCUUGGGCCUUCGCCUCUGGGCGGGCCUUAAAAUCAGUGGCGGUGCCGUCCGGCUCUAAGCGUAGUAAAUCUCCUCGCUAUAGGGUUCCGGAGGGAUGCUGGCCAACAACCCCCAACUUUUAAGGUUGACCUCGGAUCAGGUAGGGAUACCCGCUGAACUUAAGCAUAUCAAUAAGCGGAGGA